AAAGUUAGAGGUUCGAAGGCGAUCAGAUACCGCCCUAGUUCUAACCAUAAACGAUGCCAGCCAGCGAUCCGGCUGUGUUCCUCAAAUGACACGCCGGGCAGCUUCCGGGAAACCAAAGCUUUUGGGUUCCGGGGGAAGUAUGGUUGCAAAGCUGAAACUUAAAGGAAUUGACGGAAGGGCACCACCAGAGGUGGAGCUUGCGGCUUAAUUUGACUCAACACGGGAAAACCUACCCGGCCCGGACACAGGAAGGAUUGACAGAUUAAGAGCUCUUUCUUGAUUCUGUGGGUUGUGGUGCAUGGCCGUUCUUAGUCGGUGGUGCGAAUUGUCUGGUUAAUUCCGUUAACGGACGAGACUGUAGCCUACUAAAUAGACGUUCCGAUCAUCUCCGUCGGACGUUCUUCUUAGAGGGACAAGCGGCGUCUAGCCGCGCGAGACACAGCAAUAACAGGUCUGUAAUGCCCUCAGAUGCCCGGGGCCGCACGCGUGCUACAUUGAAGGAAACAGCGUGUGCUUUCCCUGUCCGACAGGACUGGGUAACCCGUUGAAUCUCCUUCGUGCUGGGGAUAGGGGCUUGUAAUUGUUCCCCUUGAACGAGGAACCCCCAGUAAGCGCGAGUCAUUAGCUCGUGCUGAUUAAGUCCCUGCCCUUUGUCCACACCGCCCGUCGCUACAACCGAUUGAAUAAUUUUGUGAGGUCUUCGGACUGGCGCUCGGAGCGGCCUUCGGGUCGCGCCGGCGUGCCGGAAAGAUGACCAAACAUGACUAUU
rnacentral:rRNA from 1 species